UUUCACUAUUUAUUUUACUUCUCGCCCCCAAAAACGUUGCUGUUAAUCGGUAGAAAUACAACGAUUUUCUGUUGAUUUUCGUUCAUUUCUAUUUCGCUCUGCUGGGACUUUUUGUAAAUUACAACAUUAUUUAGGCUGGACCAGCGAUGCGGGAUUGAAUAAUUGCCGGACUCCAACCGACGGCCUGUGGGGGAUCGUAAUUAAAGGCAACUCAUGGCGAUGGCGAUGCCCCCUGCCGCUCAAUAUAUAGGCAUCCAUCUGUUUAAUUAACAGCUUUUGACCUUGUCCAAUCGUUUAUAAACAAUUGCCCUCCGAUGCCGAUGAGUGCUGAAAUCGGCAUUUGUCCGCUUUGCGGUAGGAAAUCCGUUGCGGAUCGCAAUGGAAAAUUUUCCGGGUGAAGGGUGAAACUAUUUUCCAUCCCCCUAACCGGAUUAUUUAUACAAUCCAAACUAAGGCGAACUUGGCAUGGAACGGUUCAGAUUUAUAUUCACUGUUAGACAACUAAAUUGAACGAGCAAUCCAUGCAGCUGGAAAUAAAGUUGUCACAAAUCUGUAAAGUACAUUUUAUAAAGUGUCCUGGGGGCAAGCCUCCGCCCUGGAUCAGCGCAAUUUGUUUACACUCCUUAGCGAUUUAUGUGGCAUUUAGGGGGCCAGAUGUGCCCCACCUCCGCCAACCCAUCCCCUUCCUCCACCACAGCUCUCAAUAUCGGGAAAAACGGCCCCAGUCCAUUGUAAAUAUCACAUAAUCCACCGCAAACAAUUUUUCCGAGCUCUACGCUUUCCGCCGCAGUUUUUUCCUUUUUGCCUUUUAUUUUUUGAGGCCGCGCGCGGAGUAGGAAAAAAUUUUAAUAAAAAGUAAAUUUGAAAUAAACAAAAUGUUUGGUAAUAUCAGAAAUUUAUUGCAAUCGUAGGGCCCAGAACGACGGAAACUGAAAACCCUAGCGGUGGGAUAAUGGCGGCAGCAGAACAGUGAAGCGAUUUAUAAAAAGAAAACCAAAAUUACGCGACUUGUUUAAAUUCCGAAAAGCCAUUAAACGCAGCUGGGGCCCCGGACACGAAGCACAAACUCAUAUCCAACAGCAAUGACUUCCUGGACCCCACAGAUCCGAGAUCCCAGUUUCCCAGUUUCCAGAUUCUGUAUUCCCGGACAGAAUAAGAACCAGAACCGCAAUUAUCAUGAACGCAAUAUCCCGGCGCGAAGGGAGGGCCCAUGGCAAACACUUUGACGCAAAAACUUAAAUCGUUAAAUAUUUAUAAACGAGCUGAGAAAGCCAGCAAACACACCCAUGCGCAUGGUACAUAUAGAGAGGGCUUGGGAAAUUAGACAAGAGGGAAAGCCAGGAAAUGGACAUCAAGUGGACACCAGCUGGAUGGCCAGUGGCAUCGCUGCUGUAUAUCAACACAUCAUAAUCCCAGGAGGGAGUUGAGGAGGUAAGGAAGUAAGUCCCAAAAGCCGCCGCCUGUUUAUAAGGCUUAGGCCAACGCCUAAUAUGGCUUUAAUGAGCUAUCCUCGGCUGGAAAAGGUGGUGGAAAAUGCCUUAAAGGGGGUUUUCCCGGACUCAACAGCAACCUGAGAGGAAGAUUGCUGGAAUUCGGAACUCAAGACGACGGCUCAAAAAGGCUACGGCGAAAAAAGAUUUUUCUAGAUUUUUUAAAUGCCAUUAAACAUAAAUCUUAAACAGUUCCGGCUUAACCUUCAUAAGAUGGGAAAAAACAGGUAGGGAAAUAAAGUAGCUACCGUAAUUUCCUGAUGAAAGUGAAAAUUGAAAAAGGCUUGGGAUUACUUUGUGAGUCGAGAGGUGGAGAGCUUCUUAAGAUUGUUGAUUCAAUUUGGUGGUAGCAAAGUUGAAGAUUUACAUUAGAAAAAUCCAAAAAUGAGUCCAUAAAUAUUACCUAGAUUUUAGAAAUAUUUAGGGAAUAUAUUUGAUACAAAUCUUAAUCAGUUCCGGCUUGAAUUGAUUUUUCACUGUAAGAUAAUAAAAUAUUUUAAAAUCCGGAAGCUGUGUGUACUUGAAUACCACGAUUGAAUGAGCAAUAUAAAUCCUAUUUUGUGUAUUCACCAGGUAUUUAUUGCCCUUUAUCUUUGCGCACUUACCUCAAUGAAACGUUUCGGCCAUCACUUAUUGCGCUAAUCUAAUGACCCUACAACGCCCCAUAUUUUUCAAAGUUCUUAUCCCACCCAAAUCAUUGCAAACGCAAAAAACGAAGCGGAUGUAUAUAAUAGAAUAAGACCUGAAUGGAAAUCCAAACUGCAAACUCUGCGGAAAAGCGCCACUCCAAUGGGAUCUCCAAUCCACUUGCAAUCUCCACUAACCUUGUUCUUUUUUUUUCUCCUCCACUAGCGCUCCUUUGUCGGCGAUUUAUGGGUUUUUCCUGCUCCGGAAUGCUGGAUGCUACAUCCUCCCCCAUAGUUUUACACCCACACACACUCAGGCACACCCACACACAUACAUACAAAGUCAGUACAAUAGUUUAAUUAACAUUAACGCUGACGCCAACUACUGAUGGCAAUAAAAAACCAUUAAAAGGAAUUUAUUUUAAGGACCGAACAGGCAAUAAAUCACAUUACAUGUCGCUAUAAAAACAAAA